CUGCGAAGAGGAGAAACAAUCAGAUAGGAUGAGCAGGACACGGUGUGUUGAGGCCGGGGCCUCAGGCAGGGGCUGCAUGAAUGACACUCAGUGCUGUUGCUUGCUGGCUGAAUGGGCUUCCAGUGCUGAAACACUCUUCUGGGGGAAGCCAUCAACAUCAGGUUAAAGUGGGCGUCACAAGUUAGUAGUUAUUCUUCAGGUUGCAUUUGUUCCCAAGUAUUUUAGGAUCUUAACCUUUCAACUGUUAAUUGUCAAGAGGUCUAAUUCUUACAUCAAAAUCUGCUACUCUCCCAGUCAUCUCACCGUUGUCUGUCUGUUUUGUGUUUUGUCCGACAAGUGUUAUAGAGGGAGAUUCGUUGUUAGCAGAAUGCAGAGGUGAAGCACGGCAUUCACGUGUUCCGCUCACAGUGCUGAGGCGGAGGCGGGCUGCGGGUCGGUGAGGGGGCGUGGCCUUUGCAGGACACGCGGCAGUCUGUCACGCAGCUCCCUGGUUCCCUGAAGCGUGCUGCGCUAGGGCGCCCCCAGAGGGUUGUUCCACAUUCACUGCACUUGUACAGUGUUCUCCCGGUGGUGUUUGUGCGACUGUUUGUUGAAGUUUGCCUCAGACUAAAAAGUUUUUCCACUUCCAUUGCCUUCCUAGGGUUUUUCCUCUGUUCUCUGACAAUUUGUUUAAAAAAUAAAUCUCACACAAAAGAAGCCAUCUUAGAUCGACUUGAUCAAUGAUAGCACGCAGUUAGCAUUCUGUUCUUUUUUCUCCUUAGAGAAUUCUCAUACAUUCCAGAACUUUCUGCACUGGUGGUGUUUAGCUUACAGUGGGAAAUGCGAUCUGCUGUGGUGCGGGGUUGGCACGAGGCCUCUGAGUGGUCGCAGGACGUCCCCUGCUCUGCGACGUGGGGGCAGGAGAGCAGGACUGAGGGACGGGAACCCGUGAACCCUCCGUGGCGGAGGAGGGAGUGCCUCCGGCCGUGGUGGCUCUCAGGUAGCCCGGGGCAUCUGCACAAGAGUGCUCUCCUGGGCUCUGACGCUCUGCGGCUUUGGGAAAGAGAACGCAGCAGGAAGCCCCCUGAGCUACUCCUUUAGGUUGACAGUGAGAUGAGGCAUUAGACAGGGAGCAUCGUAGCUUUCCUGGGUUGACAGUGAGAUGAGGCAUUCAGACAGAGCGUUGUAGCUUUCCUGAGUUGACAGUGAGAUGAGGCAUUAGACAGGGAGCAUUGUAGCUUUCCUGAGUUGACAGUGAGAUGAGGCCUUCAGACGGGGAGCAUCGUAGCUUUCCUGGGUUGUCGCUUGCUCCUCUCCGCCAGGCUCUGCACGGAUACUGCUGCCAUAUUCCUGUCUGUCUGUCUCUUGCCUGGCAGUCACUAGUUGGUAAAAGACUGCACGCACCAGGCACUGUGCUUGUCCUGGCCGCGUGGCAGCGUACGGAGCACCGCUUCUUUCCCCAGGAGUUACUGCUGAGCACUAAAGACAGCAGGCAAUUUUUUCCUUUCUCUUUAUUUUUUAAGGUGAGUUUUAAUUGUGUAUUUAUUUAUUUUGUUUUGAAGAUUUAUUUAUUUCAUUUGGAAGGGAGCAUGACAGGAAAAGGGAGAGGUAGAGAGAGCCAGAGAGAGAGAUCUUCCAUCCUCUGGUUCUUUCCCCGAAUGUCCACAACAGCCAGGGCUGGGCCAGGCCAAAGCCAGGAACCAGGAACUCUACCGAGUGGAGACGUGGGUGGCAGGAACCCAAGUACCUAGGCCAUCGUCGGCUGCCUCGCAGGCGCAUUAGUAGAAAGCUGGAUUGGAAGUGUGGAGGAGCUGGAACUUGAACCAGGCACUCCGAUAUGGGAUGCAAGUAUCCCAGUCAGCUGCUUAGCCUGCGACCAAGCCCAGCCCUGCCAGUCAAUUCAGAGCCACGAACGCUGUCAUAGACGUGAGAGGGAAACUGGGAAAGCCCGUGGGAGGAGCAGGCCAGGAGCUGGUGGGAAGUGUGGCCAGAGACAGAGACUGGACAGAGGGGUCAGGUAGAGUGGGGUACAGAAAGGGAGACUGGUCUCAACAGUACAGGGAACAGUGUGUUCGAAGAUCGGGAGAAAAUAGCUCACAUGGCCCAGCACUGGAGAGAGGACAGGAAGUUAAGGGAUAGAGUGGGCGGGCCUUGUAAGCCUGGGGCGGGCAUGUAGGACACAGCGUCCUGGCAGAGCUGUGAGCUAGGGAGUGAUAGGAUCAGAUUUGCAUUUUUGGAAGGAAGGCUUUGGCUGACACACGGAGAACGGAUCGGAUCGGAUGCAGUCUGGCAGCAGUGAGAACAGGCCGUGCGAUCUGCGGAGCAGAGGAGAGCAGCCAUGUGACCUGCUCAGUGGCUGUGGCCGAGGGUGCUGGGAGGAUGGGAAAGCAGAGGCCUUGUCCGUCAGGCGGUCACUGCAGUCUGCUGUCCUGGAUGCCCAAGGGCGUGUCUCAGAGGGAUCACUGGGGAAGCCCCGUGUAGCUCUCAAGAAAUGUCCCCCUUAGUCCAGUGCUGCAGCCUUCUCCCAGGGUCCAGCCCUCUGGGGAACAGUGUCAGGGGAGGCAGAAUCAGUCAGCUUGCCCCUCACGGACCCCUCCAUCGUGGGCGAGGUCUCUGUUGGUCUUCCUCUUACGAGUGCUUCCUGUGUUUUGGUCCUCAGCGACUGGCCAUCGAUGAGGCGCGUCUGAGGUCCCUUCCCCUGGACAGAAGUAGGCGGAUCAGCUGGGGCAGGGAGUUCUCCCGGUGGAGCGGGGAGGCCGGCGGGGAGGAGGGCGUCGGGAUGGAAGGCCUCGUCUGGGAGGAAGGCAGGGCUGCUGUGACGGGGCCAUCUCACGGGCCUGCGGGCAGCUUGUGGGCAGCCGGGGUGGACCUGAAAGACUUGUCAGAGUUGGGAGAGGCUUGGUGACCAGCUGAGUGUGGGGUGGGAGGCCAAGGAGGGAGCCGAGGGUGGCACCCCUGUGUCUGCUGGGGCAGGUGUGUGGUGGCGGCGUCAUUCUGAGUCCAGAGCAGGUGGGGACACUGAAACCUAUUUUCCCUGUGGUAUUUUCUGCAUUUUGUAAAAUGGCUUUUACGGAAGCAGACACAGCUGUUAGAUUCAGUGAACAGUGUGGGCACGUUCCUGUUCCGGUUGUUUACGAAGUGUAGUUCAGAACCACCAGACCCACCUCGGCAGUGUGGUGACUGCUGGUGAGGGACGACUUCUCUUCCAGUUCCGCCAGUGCUGUGCGCAGUCACGUGGCGUACACACUGUGCCCUGGGUUCUCAGUUCACCUUGGAGUUCUCAGUUCAAGCAGCUGAAAUCCCGUAGACAGUCUCAGUUGCGUCCGUUGUUUCUUCCUGGGGCUGGUGACACUUAGGUCCCCUCAGAGCCGCCGGGCGUCAGUCACCCGGUCCUCUGGGUCUCUUUCCAGGUGGGCUUCUUGCUGUGAGUGUCGGGGGCUCCAGCAGCGUGAGCGAGAGGGGCCGCUGGUGAGCAGCUGUGUUCUGUCCUGGAGAGCUCUCGAGCGGCGGGCGGCAUUGCAGCAGGCUGAGCAGGGCGCCGUGGGAAGCGGCCCGGCGCCUGUGCCCGCGCCCUGCUGGCGCUGCCCUGAGCCGCCGUGCCGCCCCUGCGUGAGCUGUAGAAUGCCACUCAACACCCAGCCGUGCUGUGUGAUGCUCCUUCAGAGCAGGAGAGCCCAGGGGGCUGAACGCCUGCCCUUUUCCCUGAGAUUGUAUCACACUUCCCGAGCUGACAUUUGGCUCGGAGGCUCGGGUGAGGCCCUCGGAGCCAGAGAGGCGUGUUAGUGCACGACCUGUGCCAGGUUGAGGAGGCGUGCACUGAUUUGUAGCAACAUCAACAUCCUACUCAUCAGGUGGGAAGCACUUUCUCCCCUGUGGGGCGGCCUGAAGACGAAGGCGGCUUCACACUCUUCCAGCCUGCCCGUCUUUCUGGAAUACUCCAGGGUCUCAUUAUUCUCAGCUCCAGAGACCAGCCCAGCGAUGAUUCUUGAGACUUGGUUUUCCUCUGAAACGUAACUUCAUUUUCGGUUAGUUCUUUAUAAUGAACACCGCUGGCAAGUGUGUGGACUGCCUGGGGCCCCUGGGCCGCUGUGGCACCCACGCUGAGACCCAGCGCCCGCCCAACCUUGCUCUGCUCAACGCUCCCGAGUGCCGAGCCCCGGCUUCCCACGGCUGCGGCGGCCGCGCCUCACCCGUCCUCCGUGGACCGCCUGUGUGCUGAUACGUGGGUGUGUGAACUUGAGGGGCACCAUGAGAAGAAAAUAUGUUGCUUUUUGUUCUGGAAGCUACUUGAUUUAGAAGAAUAAAAGUAAUUCAGUUACUGAAGGGUGCUUUUUGGUUUUUGGGGUUUUUUCCAGUUUGCACUUUCAAGCUGCUCUAAUCGUUUUUAUAUAUAUAUAUAUAUGUGUGUGUGUGUAUAUAUAUAUAUAUAUAUAUAUAUAGUAAAGAUUUUAUUUAUUCAUUUGAGAGGUAGAGUUAUAGACAGUGAGAGGGAGAGACAGAGAGAAAGGUCUUCCUUCCCUUGGUUAAAUCCCCAGUUGGUUGCAACAGCCAGAGCUGCACCGAUCAGGAGCCAGGUGCUUCCUCUGGGUCUCCCAUGUGAGUACAGGGGCCCAAGGACUUGGGCCUUCUUCUGUGGCUUUCCCAGGCCACAGCAGAGAGCUGGAUUGGAAGAGAAGCAGCCGGGACUAGAACCGGAACCCAUAUUGGAUGCCAUUGCCUCAGGUGGAGGAUUAACCAAGUGAGCCACGGCACCGGCCCCUGCUCUAACCAUUAUAUGCAAUGUCACUGGACCCGGUUUGCAAUACUGGAAGUUACGUAUUUUAUUUUAAAACAUUUUCUUAGGAUAAAGUUUCUAUGUCAUUUGUAUUAAAAUGAUUGGGUUAGUUAUAAUAGAUCGAAAAACCCAUUUAAAUAUUUUACCGUUUAUGAUUUGGAAAGUGCUUGCUCGUACCUGCAAAUGGGCAAGAUUAGAAACAGCAAGGAUUCUCCAGGGCUUAUUUUCUUCUGAUGUAAAUGGAGGCUGUUCUUAAAGAAACAGGAAGGGCUGUGUCUAAGCUGCUCUUGGACUUUGGUUGCUGUGCGGGAACAGCACUGGGACUACCCAGCAUCAUUCCCAAGGCCACAGCGUUUGCAGAUGGAGAAGAGUAGCCCUCAGGAGUGCUUGCUUCACUGAGUUCUGGAAACACACGUGUCACACGCACAUGCUCACAGAGGCGUGCAACGCCGAAGAGAACGCACCAGGGCUUCAGCCCCACAUUUUGAGGAAUGAAGGGUUCAAUUUCAUGACUGUCUCUAUCCCUCUCUACCCAGGGGGUUUCCACACUCCCUGGUGGGAGUCCGUGGCAGGGCCGCGGUCUGCUGGCUGCUCGGGCUCAUUGGCUUCUGCUCCUGCGGGUGUAGGCUCAGCGCUGGGCAGACCUCUGUGUGCAGAACCUGGGGAGAUUUGGGGUGGCCAGGGAGGUGCUUUUGAAAUAACUUAGUUGUAGCAUUUAGAAAUCAGUUUUAGAGAAGUGGUAUGGAAAUUUGUGUAGUAAAUAUAUGGCUAUUUGCAAUUUGGCAGAGAAAUAAAAAUGGGUUUUGUUUUGUUUUGAGAGCAAGAGAGGGAGGACAGGGAAAGAGCUCCCGUCCACUAGCUGCAUCCCAGAGGCCUGCACAGGCUGGGCUGGGGGCUGAAGCCGGGCGCUGGACACUGAAUCUUCCACGCGGGUUGCAGAGACCCAGUCGCUGAGCUGCCUCACGUGGUCUGCAUUGGCAGGAAGCUGGAGGCAGGAGCUGGAACUAGAACGGGGUGCUGCACUCCCGUGUGGGGUCUGGGGCAUCCUGCUUUACCUGGCAGGCCAAACAGCUGCCACUGAGGGCUCAGGCAUUUAAGUCGGUGUUGUCCUCUAAGGGCUGUUGUCACAGAACGCUCACACACAAACAGUUUCAGGGGCUCUGCCAGGCGAAUCGGAACUUGAGCUGACUUUGUAGGUGCAGUCCUACAUUUUGCGAUUGUGUGAGCCUGCCUGCUGCAGAGGUAUUCACUUCCUGAUCAGCCCUAGGUGGUCUCGGCAGAUGACACCUGUGUCAGGUCUGGUGUCUCCAAUAUUACUUCCCUGCAGUGCCCUGGCGUAAUUUUCCAGAAGGCCUGAGGACAGCAUGGUUCCCAGCGCCUGGGAAGGGGGUGGAGGGGGUGGGGUGGAGAGAGGAGGCUAAGGGUUGGGUGCAGCCGGAUAGUGUUUCCUAGCACGGUAGGUGACUGACUGACAACAGUGCGUUGGCUGUUUCAGAACAGCCAAUCGAGGGUUUUUUUGGAAAAGAUUUAUUUAUUUGUUUGAAAGGCGGGGCAACAGAGGGAGUAGUGAGAGAGGGAUUUCCUAUUUGUUGGUUCAUUCGCCAAAAGGCCCACAACAGCCGGAUGUGGACCAGGGCAAAACCAGGAGCCAGGAACUCCAGCCAGGUCUUCUCCAUGGCUGGCAGGCACCCAAGUACUUGGGCCAUCAUCCACUGCCUUCCCAGGCCUGUUAGCAGGAGGCUGGGUUGGAAGCAGAGCACCCGGGACUUGAACUGGCCCUCAAAUAUGGGAUGGCCGUGUUGUAAACAGAUGCUUGGCCCACCGUGCCGCAGUGCUGGCCCCAGUAGAGGAUUCUGAGUGGUUUUCAGCACAAAGAAAUAGCAGAUAUCUGAAGAGGUAGAUGCUGGGUCCUCCUCGUCUGUGCAGGACUUGACCGUGGCCCUCUUCCCCUGACCUCCAGGUGUCCGUGUGCCCGGGGCUCUGUUCCUGUCUCUCCUGUUUGUGUCCUCUCCCCAGGCAGUGCAUGUGUCCCUCUGCUGCACGGAUAGCUGUGUGCUGGGGACUCCCAAACCGUUUCUCCCGCCCUGCCCUCGGUGCGGGCUGCAGGGCUGUUUACCCACUGGCCCACUUGGCUCCUCCACUGGGUAUGUGACAGCACAGCACAUGGAGCGUUGCUACCGCAGAGCUUCCGGGCCUGGCUCCCCACUCACCCCCACCUGCCAGGCUCCCGUUUCAGCUGAGGCUCCGUCAUCCACCGGCCGUUUACCAUGCGUGCUCAGAGCGGAGGAGCCGUCUGUCUGUCCUCUGCCCUCCACCUCACUCUGCCUCCUCCAGAACGUGCGCCACACCCAGCUGUUCCGCAGUGCGCAUUCCUGCUGCUUCCCCACAAUGGCCUCCGCGUGGGCGCUCUUUAACUUUUGUCCCUCUGUUAGUCUUUCUUCCAUCCAACAGCCAGAUUGAUUUAAAAUAUAAAAAGAUAAACGCACACAGGCUACACUACUCUUCUGCUUAAAACUUCCAGUGGCUUACCAUUUUGCUUAGAACAUCCCAGCUCUUCUCAUAACUUAAAAUGUCCUGCAUGACAGAGAAGGGAAAAUAGAUUAAAAUGCCAGUGUGUGGGGCCAGGGCUGUGGUGUAGUGGAUAAAGCCACCACCUGCAGUGCCGGCAUCCCAUGUGGGUGCCAGUUCAAGUCCCAGCUGCUCCACUUCUGACCCAGCUCUCUGCUAUGGCCUGGGAAAGCAGAAGAUGACCCAAGUGCUUGGGCCCCUGGCCCGUGUGGGAGACCCAGAGGAAGCUCCUGGCUCUUGGCUUCGGAUCAGCGCAGCUCCAGCCGUUGCAGCCAUCUGGGGAACAAAUCAGCGGAUGGAAGACCUCUCUCUCUGUGUUAAUUCUGACUUUCACAUAAAUAAAUCAAUCCUUUUUUAAAAGAUUUUAUUUGAGAGGUAGAGUUAGAUAGUGAGAGGGAGAGACAGAGAGGGAGGUCUUCCUUCCAUUGGUUCACUCCCCAAAUAGCCGCAACAGCCAGAACUACGCCAAUCCGAAGCCAGGAGCUUCUUCUAGGUUUCCCACAUGGGUGCAGGUGCACAAGGACUUGGGUCAUCCUCCUACUGCUUUCCCAGGCCAUAGCCGAGAGCUGGAUGGAAGAGGAGCAGCCGGGACUUGAACAUGUUCAGUUCUGUUUUCUCUCACCCAACAGGGGCCAGAUCUCUAUAAGCCAUUAAUCCCUUCACAGACAGCACCAAAUCGUCAGACCAUUAAACUAACUUUCCAGCCAAAUCAGACAUACAUUACCUAAACCGAAACAUGAAAUUAUCAGAGAGGAAGAUUGAAAUUAGAACGACAGUCAGUGGAGAUCCAGGGAAUCUUGGGUCCAGCUCUGAGAGCCAAAGAGAAACUGUCCAGGUUGAAGCAGCCCAAGUGAGGUGUGCGUCUGCUAAGGGGCUUACCUGGGCUUACCUGGCUGUGUCAGGCGUGUCCAUCCAGUGGACAUCUUGGUGAGACCUCCAGAGUUAUUAAAGGACGAUUUUCCAAAAGUAAGAGAAAUAGCAAUUCUUAAAUAGAUACAAAAUAAAAUUUUAAUUUUAAUUUAAUGAAGGAACCAGGUACCUAUUAUAACCGAUCAAAGGAGAACUCUAAAACAACACAUUUUACGUGGAGCAAAGUUAUAUUGACUCGGGAAUGUGCAGACAAAAAAUGGACUUUUCCAAGGAUGUGGGGGGCCAGCUGUCCAUCUGGGAUUAUCCACCUGGUUGUCUACUGGUGCUUAUUUUGCAUUUGCUUCUGGUUACCAGCAGUUUGUAGAGUUUAAAACAGACCCUGUAGAAUCAGAAUCUGUUUGUCUUGUACCGUGUGCCUAAGACCACACAGCAGCCUGUUUGGUAAUAAAGUUUUAUUGGGACCCAGUGUACCCACUCACUUUUCUAUUGUCUGUGGUGGCUUUCUGACUCUGACUGCAAAAUUAAGUAGCUGUGAUAGACACCGUGUCCUGUGAGCCCCCAGAUAUUUUUCCUGUGUGUAUUUAUCUCCUUCGUUAUGCAUGUCUUUCCCCAUUCUUAUAUGAAACAUGGCUGCAGGGGCUUGUUUGUGCCUCCCAUCGGCUCCACAGCACCUUAAGCAGUGCCUACCCACUGCAAGAGUGAUCUGGUUACUAAUGUGGGGAUCUUAGGUACUGGUUGUGUGUUUUGACAAUGGCUGGUUUGCAGCACUUAGACCAGUUUGGAACUUUGCAUUUGUCUGUUUCUGCUACCCUGUUGAGAUACAGAAGGGAAGAACACGAUGUGGAAGUGCCAGAGUGCAGUUUUUAUGCAGUGUGCUCAUGGAGGGUGUUCUUGUCAGGCUGAUGAGAGAUGCAUGUGAUGGGAGAGUUGUGGCUGGGAGUGCUGACAGAUGUCUAAAGUGACGCCUGGGCCAAAAGAUCCCGUGGUGAUACUGUUAAGAGGAUA